rfam:Dipodomys ordii contig_31338, whole genome shotgun sequence.
GGGAAUGUGGCUCAGUGGUAGAGGGCUUGCCUAGCAUUCAUGAAGCCCAGGGUUUGAUUCCCUCAGUACCA